UCCGCCCACACAUGCAAAUUUAAUCGCCCUCCCAAAACUUAUAUUUUUAAACGAUGAAUGGAAAUUGUUUGUAUCACUGUAAAAUUAGAAUACACCAAAGCUGUUAGCUCUCAGUAAACGAAAAAAAUAUAUUUUUCCUAUAUUAAGUUUAUGCAUGGGCAGAAUCUACCCAACCCGUCCAGUUAAGGGUUAAAUCAGGUACAAAUAGUACUUCUUCCAGUUUUAUAUUGUUUUCUUCUUCAUUUUGAAUCAUGUGCUUCAUUCUAACAGUUCCUUUAGCUAAUGAUUUUAUGCUUCUUCCAUUUUCAGCCACAUUGAUGGUUCUUUCUUCAAAAUUUUCAUUUUUUAAGUGUGAUCUGUCAUUAGUCAUGUGUGAACAUGCAGAAUCCAAUUGCCAAAUUUGAGUAUCAGAAAAUGUUGGGUAAAAUUCUGUAUUGAGAGCAAAUUCUCCUUUUUGAUUAGAAGAUUGACCUUGAAUUUCUGAUAAAUUAGCUUCUUUAUUCUUUUGUGAGAAUGGAAUCCAUUUUGAUCUGUUAUUUGUAUAUCUAUUAGAAGUCUUCUUGUUUUUUGGAUUGUGCCAACAUUGGUUUUGUAGAUGACCAGGUUUAUGGCAUGUAUGACAUGUUUUAAAUGUUUUCUUCUCUUGUGCUUUAAAGGCAUUGUUGCAUUUAAUGUCAUGUUUCUUUUCAAAGUCAAGAAGGGUUUGUCUCAAAUCUCCUAUAGAAAUAUUUCUAUUCAUAAUUAGAACUGUAGAAAUACUUGUGUACUUACUCUUUCCUUGGAUGGCAUUAGAGAGACGGGGAAUUAUGCAGCGGGUCCGUAGUACAAUUUUCUUAAGAUGGGAGACGAAUUUACGAGUUUGAUUGAAUUCGACCCCCAAUAUGGUGAUAUUCUGGCUUAUGGUAAUAGGUAGGUUGUCCGAGAAUCUUUAACCCAGGAUCCGGGUUGGGCCGAACUCUCCUCCACUGGAAGAUGCAGGCCUGUGUCUUCCUGGGGUUGAGCUGGAGGCCAUUGUCAACACACCAAGCAGUCAUCCUAUCCAGAAAGUCGUUUAUAGCCACGACAGGCAAACGACCACGGACCUGUAUUAGGAGGGUGAAGUCGUUGGCAAAAGCCACUAGCGAACUUUCCCUGAUUUGAAAAAGCAGGAAUAGUUCGCGAGCGACCACAUUCCAGAGGAAGGGACUCAACGCAGAGCCUUGGGGUGUUCCCCGCGGAAUACGUGACUUCCCGGUCCUCGAGGAAACUUUUGCACGAGGCAAACCAGUGAGUCUGGGCAGAUUAGGCGAUCAAGGCUUUGGACAAUGGCCGGUCUCCAAAUGGUAUCGAAAGCCUUGCUGAUGUCCAGGCUUAUUGCCAGAGUCUUCCUCCAGUGUGACUGCCUGCUGUCGAUGAACUCUGUGAUUUUGGCCAGUGCAUCUUCUGCCGCAUGCCCAUGGACAAAUCCGAAUUGGUUGUCAGAAAACCAGCCAUGUCGAUCUGCCAGCCAUUGGAGUCUGGCCAGAAUACAUCUUUCAAACACCUUUGCCAAGUUGUUCAAAAGUGUAAUGGGUCUAUACCUAUCUAGCUUGUUUGGGGCUGAGCUAGAAGGUUUAGGGAUAAGGAUGAGGCGUCCAGCUUUCCAGGGACGAGGGAAGUGGCCAAUUUUGAGGCACUUGGAAAAUAAUGUGGAAGUCUGGUUCAUCGGAGUAGGGUGGAGGAUCAUUUUUAGGUGGAUGUGGUCGAUUGUCUGGUGGAAGGAAAUGCUCCAGGACUGUGCGGCUUGUCUCCUCUGGAGUGAAGGGAGAGCCAUCAUUAUGCUGGAGGAGAGGAGGACCCCUGUUGGGUUUACGGCCCUGAGCUAUGAAGCGGUGUAUGGCGCUCCAAGCAGUGGCUGAAACUUCGUUGCAGAGGUUUAGCCAACAUUUACUCUUGGCUUUUCGUAUCGCUGCUUUGAGUCGAUUGUGGCAUGCUCGAUAGAGGCCACAGAAGAAACUCCGGAUUGGACUCUGUGUGCUAUGCGAGCAGCGAUGGAGGGAAAGGACUAGUUUUCUCAGGUUAGGCCUCUCAGGUGGGCCUAAGACGUGGAGGUCGUUAAGGCGGGCAAAGUCCUCAAGAUUUUCUCCACCUGAGUCAAGUCUGCCGUUGAUACCCCAGCAUGGGGAGUGAGCAUUGGCAUCCAUGCCUAUGAUCAUCAGAAAUGGGAACCUGUUGUUGAUGGAUUCAAUGUGAGGGAGAAAGUCGUCAGCGUCCCUUUGACCAUGCCAGUAUGCUGAGAUGACUGAGAUAGGACUGUGCCCCAGCCAGAUAGCAAUAGAUGUGAUAGCUGGGUCUGAAGACUCGAUGGGCAGCACUUGGAGAUAAGAGCGUGCUACUAUACCUGAAGGUAUAUAUGAACCAGGAGUAUUGAAGGUUUGAAAACCAGACGAGGGCCAGUUGAAGUGGGCAGGAAGUUCCUGUAGAAGCACCAGGUCGGCUCUAGUUGCCUCUGCCAAAUUAGAAAGCUCUAAGAUGGCAGAAGGAGAUUUGUGGGCGUUGGCCUGCAAGAUCCUUAAAUGUCUUUGUUUUAUAAGUUACUAGCGAACCCGGCCACGCAUUGCUGUGGCUAAGUUGUAAUAUGUUAAAUUAAUAUUAUACUAAACUAUUCAGUACAGUAAAGUUAAUAUUCACUUAUAAAGAUAAAAAUGUUUUAGCCGAUCUAAAGCCCUACGGGAUUGAGAAUGGAACGUUACGUUAAAAUUUGAAAGUGAUUUUUAUAUAUAUAGAUAAUAUAGCCCUUUAUUGUAAUUAUUGAUUAUAAUCACUGCAUUAAUAAAUGUCAGUGAACCUGUUUUUUUAUUUUUGAAUUAAUUGAUCUAGCCGAACCCGGGCAGACGUUGCCCUGCCUCUACGCACCUCUAUAUAUAUAAAAAUGGAUGCCUGUAUGUGUUUGUAAUCAAGAAUCUAGCAUGUGCUGGGAAAAAAUUAAAGAUGAGUCAUAAAGAAUUGAUGAAAAAAUAUAUAGAUUUUAUUAAUAGCAAUAUUUGAAUGAAUAUUGUAUCAUAUGAAAACUAAUCUAUCGUAACGCGAGUGGAUACACAAUAUUUUUGGUCCUCUCGUUUGGUGCGUAGAUAUAUAGAUAUUUUGGCGUUCCAACUCGGGAGCAAGCGACGUAGAGUUGACCAUGUGAAAAACAUGGAUUUCCUAAAUGCAAACCGUCAACUCGCAGCGACUGUCCUUGGGAUUUGUUGAUUGUCAUUGCGAAAGUGAGACGCACGGGAAACUGAAGUCGCUUGAAUGUGAAGGGCAAAUCAGUGGGGAUCAUUGGAAUGCGCGGAAUGAGCACAUCCUCUCCUUUACAUUUGCCACUGAUUAUCGUCGUUUCAAUCACAUUCGGCAUCAACCUUUUUACGGAAAGUCUGGUUCCGUUGCACAACUUGGGUGUGUUGAGAUUCCGAAAAAGCAAUAUUGGCGAGCCAACUUUCAACGACAAUACAUGCGGUGGCAUUCCAGGAGGCUCCAAUGAAUUGAGAAAUUCGACUGGAUAAUUGACAGCUUGGUCCUCUUCUGUGACUGUGUCAAUAGAUUUGUAUUGCGUGACCGCUCCAGGAAUUUUCAAUUGAAUCUUAUGAUUGAUGCGAUUGACGUCAUCAUUCUUCGGAGCUAAGAUAGCUCGCUCGCAAAGCCAGUCGUGAUUCUUGAAAUUAGUGGCAAUAUCCGGGAAAACUACCUUUUCAAGAUCUCCAAUUGACGCCUGAAGUUGACAGAAGUUCGGUGGGAACGAUAUCUCGUGUGUUGCAGGAUCAACCGGAAUUUUGCCGUUGCCCAUAUUCAAAAGCUGCUUGGCAAAUGUUUGUGCAGAAACAUCUCCAUGUAAAUGCACACGCAUAUUGGUCGACAGUGUAAUUUUCUUCACAUGUCUCCAGAGAGCCGAUUUCUUCAAGCAUGCGUUCAGCUCAUCUGCUGGUGUUGCUCUUGGAAUGACAGGCAAGAUUUGACGGAAAUCACCAGCGAGCAGUAUCAGAGCUCCACCCAUUAGGCGUUGAUUGCCUCGGAAAUCGCGAAGAGUACGAUCAAGUGCCUCAAGCGCUUUCUUGUGAGCCAUCGUACAUUCAUCCCAAAUGAUGAUUUGGCACGUUUUCAACACAGUGGCCAUUCCUGAUGUUUUUCCGAUGUUGCAGAGAGGAACGUCGGCUAUAUUCAAAAUUCAAUGGCAGCUUGAAUGCCGAAUGCGCCGUACGUCCUCCAUCGAGCAGUGUUGCCGCAAUUCCCGACGAUGCCACAGCCAGAGCAAUCUCAUGUUUCAUACGAAUUUCGGCGAGAAUCAAAUUGAGCAAAAAUGUUUUCCCAGUUCCUCCUGGGGCAUCAAGGAACAGAAGACCACCAUUUCCGGUUCGCACAUGCUCCGUGACUGUGUUGUACGCAAGGUUUUGUUCGUUUGUUAAGAGUCUUUUCUGAGUCUCAACAUAAACUUGCAGUGUAUCAGCGUCGUAUUGCAUUUCUCGCAACAUAUCUCUGUCGACAGCAUCAUUUCUGCCACGCUCGGGUGAGAUCAAGCCAAGCUGAUUGAGGAUUUUGUUGUUGAUCGACAAACAUAUAUCCUCAAGUGAUAUCAGCGCUUCAUUGAAAAUUUCAUCCGAAUUCUGCGCAUUGGGGUUAGCACUAUGUACACAGCGAAGUAUGUCUUCGCUCAUACUCUCUUUAUGCUUCUCCCAUAGGCCUUUUGGGUCUGAAGGCGAGCAGGUUGUCAAAAUGAUAGCAAACAGAGUUCGUAUUUGCUUAGGAUGACAUGUUUCAGAUGCUUCUGCCAGUGUGUUGUCCCAAUGCUGAUCAUUUUCAAGCAGACCAAGCUUGAAGCAUGCCUCUCUAUAUGUCUGACAGAUUUGGCCGUUGACGGUUUUGAUAGCUUCGAACGAUUUCGGUCCUUUGACUACAUGAAGCAGCAUUCGCAAAUAGUAGCAUUCAGCAUUGCUCGGAUGGACAGUAUACACUCGCCCCAAUGCGCCAGUGGAAAACACCUGAACCAUUGAAGAGUGCAGCAUGCCUUGUUUUCUCCGUUGCCACUUCUUCAUUGACUGAUUCCAUGUGUAAUACGUCGGAACCUCAUGAUACAGCAAUGUUGCAGCGAAUGUGUCACUGGCACACAAUUGAAAAAAUGCAGUCAACGUUGUAUUGGGUGGAUUUUCAGCUCGCUGGGCCACGCUCUCUUCUGUGAAGUAUACUCGUUGACCAUUUUCCAAAUGCACACUGAGAUGGAUGACAGCAGGAGAGCGUUCGUGGAUGUCAAAGCCAAGGAUUCGCCAUACAGCUUCAUUGCUGCUGAUAUAACGUCCCAUUUGAAACUGGUCGAUUUCAUUGACGGGUGCAUUUGGAUUUUGAAGUCCAAAAACUGCCAUAUCACUGCCCUUAUUCACGUAUUUACAAAUGUAUUUGAUCGAUUUGACAGAAUUGCAAUACUCCACGUUGAUAUGCGCAUCAAAUGCUUUCGAGAGCAAAGGAGAGUAAGGCACAAUCCACCGGUUAUCAACCUCAAAAUCAACGUGAUUGAGUUUGAUUGUUGCUGUGUGGCCACCAUCCUCUGGUUUUUGUCUGUACAGAGGAUAACCGUCGCCACCAGUUUGUGUGUCAUGCACCAGGUCUCUUGGAUACUUUUUGGUGCAUUUGCCGUCCUUUAUGCACGGUGAAUGUGGGUUUUGCGCUCCACACGGUCCGUGAAUCAUAUAUUUCUUGAUAAUCUGGUACAAUUCAGGAUCUUCUUGUGGAUCAGGCAGCUCAGCAGAAAUGAUAUUAUCGAUUUGAGUUGGAAGAAUUUUUUCCUCCAACCAAAUCAAGAUGUGAGCAUGUGGAGUGCCUCUUUUUUGCCAUUCGAUGGAAUACAUCCAGCAGCGUGUUGGACCGUAUAUAUGGUUCUUAACGAUGAGAUCAAUAAAACAUUUCAAUUUCUGUUUGAAAACUCUCGCUGUGAGGUCAUGCCGAUGAGAUGACUGUUGGCCAGGCAGAAGUAGAUUUUUGAUUUCGGCCCAUGCUGGAUUGCAAGUGAAUGUGAGGAAAAGAUCUGGACGUCCAUAUGUGCGAACAUAAGUCAUAGCAUCCUGAGCAUAUUCAUGCAUAUGUCUCGGACUUCCAGCGUACGAAGCUGGAAGUAUGACCAUUUGCCCAAUGUUCGCAGCAGCAGCGGCUCCAUCAUUCGCGAUUGCAUCCCGCAAAUGAAUGUAUUGGUCAGCUCGAAGCUUUGACUGAUUGAAGCGAAUGUAGUUGAGACGUUCGCUUUCGACUUUGGCAUACAUGUCAACGAUGAAUUGUUGGAAAAGUUGACGACACUUCAGGAUGUGGUUGGAUUCUUGGGCUCGAAUCAUGAUGCGAUAUGCAUAGAAGUCCAUACAGCUGACUUUUUUCAUUGUCACGGCGUCUGAGAUAGGAUGAACUUGAUAAGUUCGAGAUGAUAUCCGUCUUCACCGCGCGGAAAAAGUAUUGGAUAUUGAAGGGCGUCGUAUGAUCGGUGGCAACACGUUGCUUGGUUCCAUCUCGUCUGCAGAUAACAAUAUCUCGUCGAGCGAUCUCUGUACCGACAAUCACAGCUGCUACUUCAGGAGUCAUCGGAGCAUUGAAGCGUCGUUCAUGCUCAUUCGUCGGCGUCUUGUCUGCCCUGAUGAGGACUUUCAUAUCAUCCGCUCGCACAUUCUCUACUGCGGAUUUGAAGUCUCGGACCAAACAGUUGUGCUCGUGGAAUAGCGUUUGUAAUUCAGCGAUGAUUGCCCGCCUUGUUGCUUCACUGAAUGCGCAUCGUCGAUCAAUCUCCUCCUCCACGUUGUCCAUGAAAUAAAUCUGCAAAAACCUCGUAUCUUCAUUGGGUACUGGAAGAAGUGAACCAAUCUGAUGGUACACUUGCCCUUGCACUUUGAAUGUGGGCUCGAAAUUUCCAAAACGCUCAAUAUGCGUCGAUCCAAACGAUGUCAUUUGGAAGCAUGAGUUGUACUUCCGAAUAUGCUGAAGGAAAUGUUUCGACUCCCGAGUUGCUCCAGCUACGUAUGUUAGAAGUGGCUGUGGCGGCUCAACCAUCGGAGGCAAAUUGACUUUCCCAUUGGAGCAACACAUCCCGGGCGUUUCCUUCUGAAACUUCAAUGCAUGACAGUGUAGACUGCAUUUUAGCGUUUUUAAUACGUUCUCUUCUUUCUUUAAUGCUCAUUCUGCGCGCAGCAAGACAUUCUGUGUUUUUAUGAUCUUUAUUACAAAAGAUGCAAUUUUGGGCACGUCCAGCAAAGAGUCCAGAGGCCGUAGGUAUCUUAGCAGGAUGUGAUUGUCUGCCCACAUUUCUAUCCUGUUUCAGAGAUUUGAGUCCAAACUUGGAUCCAGCUAAGGCUCUGUCUUGUUCUGCUGCAGCUUCCUUUUGGAGAAACUCCAUAAUUAGGUCAACUCUAGUUUGAGUCGAAUCAUUAGCAUCAAUCUUGACAUCAUGGAGGGGGCUUCUUUGCCAAGCCUUCAUGAGUUCUUCUGAGACAUGCCUCAAUCUUUAAGGAUUCCAAUGCUCUCAAAUGAGUCGCCAACUCAUCAUAAAAAUGAAGUCACCUUCAACUGUUGUUUGGAGGAGCAGUCGAUCAUAAGGCGGAUAAGAUCCCUGACAUAGACUUGUUGCAACAGUUCAGGCCUUCCAAAUCGUUUGUCAAAGUUUCUAUGACUUUGGGGUAAUUCUCGGCAGUCAGGGGAUAACUAUCAACCCGUUUACUAGCUCUGGUUCCCGGCGACAUAGAUUGCGCAAGAUAUUGAAACUUGUCGCUGUCUUCUAAAGUGGGAUCGACAUGUAUCUUGUUGAACUGUGCCCACCAUCCCAACCAAUCUUUUAUUUCUCCUGUAAACUUCUUCAAUUCUAUCUUGGGUAGUUUUACAGUUCUCUGGUGUGAGCUAGAAGCGAAGCUCACUUCACUGGUUGUGGGACUGGAUGCAGUGAUCUUAGGUUCAACAAGAGCGAGACAUUUGUUAUAUAUCCUCUUAUAUCUACGGGUAUAUUGCAAGGAUUCCUUUUGUGGUAAGCAGAUAAAAGAGGAGAAAAUGUAUUUAAAGUAAGUAUUUAUUAGGUAAAAGAUAAGACGUUAUACCAAAACAAAACAACUACAUGGGGAAGAUUAGGGUGGCUUCUUUUUUUUGUCUGUGGCUCCUCCAGGCGGUGGCGCCAGGAACUAAAAUGACGUCACGUGUCGUCUUGCUUUCACUCUUCAACACUUCCACUUGAAAGCAAGGCAGACAUUCCAAUGUCUUUAAAAAGUCUUUUAAAGCGUGUUGCUGGUAGAGCCUUUGUGAGAAGAUCAGCCAAUUGUUCUUCUGUUGGACAGUUGAAUAUCUUGAUGAUUUUCAUUUUGUGCUGUUCACGUAUAAAGUGAAACUUGACAUCAACAUGUUUAGUGCGCUUGUGAAAUUCUGGGUUCAAGAUCAGUCUAAUAGCACUCUGGUUGUCAAUCAUCAAAGGAACAGGAUUAUCAUUGGGUGUCAGUUCCUUGAUCAGUAGUUUAAGCCAUACAGCUUCCCUUGAAGCCAUGCUUGCUGCAAUGUAUUCGGCUUCUGUGGUAGAUAAAGCCACAACUGAUUGUCUUUGGUUAUAGAAUGCCUGAGUCCAAAGUUCCUUUCAAAUAUUUGAAGAUUCUUUUCAGAGCAUUCCAAUGUGUGAGAACAGGAGCUGCCAUGAAUCUACUUAGCUUGUUAACGGCGAAAGCUAUGUCAGGUCUUGUACAGACGGCAAGAAACAUCAAACAUCCAAUAGCUUCAGCAUAUGGAACGUUAUGCAUGUCAUGAGUAUCAUUGAUGUUCUCUCUUGUCAAUUUCAUGUUGGGGUCAACAGGAGUCCCUGAAGAAUUGCAUGAAGUCAUGUUGAAUUUAUCAAGUAUUCUUUUUAUAUAACUGGUUUGACUUAGAAAUAUGAGGCCUUUUUCUUUAUCUAUCUCUAAGCCUACAAACUGGUUUUGUGUGGAGAUGGUGACUUCAAAAUGUGAGGACAGAUAUUGGGCUAAUUCCUUCAACAGGUUGUUAGAAGUACUCAUCAUUAUACCAUCAUCUACAUAAAGAGCUAAGAAUAUUUUUGCAUCAGUCUUAGUUUGGUAGAACACACAUGGAUCAGCUUGUGAUUGGGUUAACUGAAAUUGUUUUAAGAAAUAUGUGAAUUUCUCAUUCCAGAUUCUGGGUGAUUGUUUUAGUCCAUAUAAACUUUUCUUUAGUUUACAAACCAAGUUUUUAUUUUCAACUUCUAUUCCUUCUGGAAUUUGCAUAUAGAUAUCUUCGUCAAGAUCACCAUUAAGAAAAGCAGUCUUUAUGUCGAAUUGCAUAAUUUCCAUGUCCAUGACAGUAGCUAAGGCUAACAAGACUCUGACUGAGUCAUAUCUUACAACUGGGGCAAAAGUCUCUUUAUAGUCUAUACCUCUUCUUUGGCUGAACCCUUUGGACACCAGUCUUGCUCGAUAACGAUCAAUUUCACCAUUGCCUUUUCUUUUUAUGCGGAAAAUCCAUUUACAUCCUAUAGCUUUUGCAUUAUCAGGAAUUAUCAGGUCCCAAUUCCCAUGUUUUAUUUUUAAUAAGAGCCUGUUUCUCUUCAUUCAUAGCAAUUUCCCAAUUUAUUUUAUCUUUACUAGACAUUGCUUCCUCAUAAGUAACUGGCUCUAGGCUUUCAGCUAUCCAUGCACUAGCAACAUCACACUGUGAUGUCUUUCUAGGUCUAAGAUUGUAUGAGUGAGUUGGCCCACACGUUCCCUCCUGAGUAGAAUCCUCAUCUUGAGGUUGCGAGGAUCCCUCACUCUCAAUUGAUAUAGGUGCAAUUUUCAUCUGAGUGUCGCAUGUGUCAACAGGAUUGGGUUCUCUUACAGUUACAUUUCUACAAACUACAAUCUGUCCGGAUUUAGGAUCAUAAAGUCUAUAAUUCUUAGAAGUAUGCUCAUAUCCAACGAAUAUCAUUUUCUUAGUUUUACUAUCCCAUUUUGACAUAAAUUGUUUAGGUAUAUUAGCAUAGGCUUCAGAACCAAAGAUUUUGAAAUGUUUGAAAGUUGACUUUCUGCCACUUCAAAGUUCAAGAGGAGUUUUCUCGUUAUUUGAAAGUGUUCUAUUAAGAACAUAGACAGCUGUGUUAACAGCUUCUGCCCACAGAUUCUUUUCUAGCCCUGAGUCAUGUAGCAUUGAUCGACCAAGUCCUAAAAUAGUCCUUAAAUCUCUUUCAACAAAGCCAUUCUGUUGGGGCGUAUAAGGAGCAGAUCUUUCAUGAAUUAUGCCAUUCUUUCUUAAAUAAUCUAAAAACGAUUGAUUGACAUAUUCAGUUCCAUUAUCAGUUCUGAAAAUUUUAACUGAUCUGCCAAACUGAUUUUUAAUUAGGGAAUCAAAUUCUUUGAAUUUAGUGAACACAUCACUUUUAAGUCCAAGUUGUGCCAUAUGACAGAAUGAGAGGAGACUUACCCUGACGAUGGAAUAGAAGCCAUUCAUGGCAGCGACAUGGAUGGGCCUGUUCUCAUAGCGAUUGCUCCGGUCCACCAUCCUCAGUCCCACCUCUGUGUCCAGCAGCAGCUGGGGACAUUUCAACACACAAUUGUUUAGUUCAAUUUUUAAACGUCACAUUUCUCAGUAACAACACUCGAAUUACAGUAGAAAAAAAUACCUCCCUGUAUAGGACAAUACUUAAUUGCAGAAGAAAAGUAUCCUUUUGGGAGAUGUGUCCUCUUACCGAAGAGUUGCUAAAUAGUGAAAAAUAAUCAUUUUUCUGAUGAAAACUGUUCUUUGUAGAGAGAGGUGUCCUCUAGUUGGAAUGCCCUCUUAUGGAAGUUCUACUGUAUUUAGUGAAUUCUACUAAAAUGCAUUGCACACAUUAUCAAUUAUUUUUAAUGACUUUUUCAAAUAUGCACAAAUAGAAAACUCUCAACAGAAAAUUAAGAUACAUUUGAAGACAAAGAUUUAU